GUCGGAGUGAACGGGAUUCGGUCCUGUGGAAACUGGCGCACCGGUGAGUAACGCGUGGGAAUCUACCCCGGGGUGGGGAAUAACCGUUGGAAACGACGGCUAAUACCGCAUACGCCUUGAGAGGGAAAGCUAUAUGCUGCCCUGGGAUGAGCCCGCGUCGGAUUAGGUUGUUGUUGGGGUAAUGGCCUAGUCAAGCCUUCGAUCCGUAGCUGGUCUGAGAGGAUGAUCAGCCACACUUGGGACUGAGACACGGCCCAGACUCCUACGGGAGGCAGCAGUGGGGGAAUAUUGGACAAUGGGGGAAACCCUGAUCCAGCCAUGUCGCGUGCGUGAAGAAGGCCUUAGGGUUGUAAAGCGCUUUCGCGGGGAAGAUGAUGACGGUACCCGCAGAAGAAGCCCCGGCUAACUCCGUGCCAGCAGCCGCGGUAAUACGGAGGGGGCAAGCGUUGUUCGGAAUACUGGCGUAAAGGGCGCGUA
rnacentral:rRNA from 1 species